CAAUAGCGUAUAUUAAAGUUGUUGCAGUUAAAAAGCUCGUAGUUGGAUUUCUGGCAGGAGCGACCGGUCGCACGCUAUGCGUGUGAACUUGUGUUGUCUCUGGCCAUCCUUGGGGAGAUCCCGUUUGGCAUUAAGUUGUCGGGCGGGGGAUACCCAUCGUUUACUGUGAAAAAUUAGAGUGUUUAAAGCAGGCUUAUGCCGUUGAAUAUAUUAGCAUGGAAUAAUAAGAUAGGACUUUGGAACUAUUUUGUUGGUUUGCGUUACAAAGUAAUGAUUAAUAGGGACAGUUGGGGGCAUUCGUAUCAACACGUCAGAGGUGGAAUUCUUGGAUUGUGUUGCGACGAACUACUGCGAAAGCAUUUGCCAAGGAUGUUUUCAUUGAUCAAGAACGAAAGUAAGGGGAUCGAAGACGAUUAGAU
rnacentral:rRNA from 1 species